rnacentral:sRNA from 1 species
UUUUGCCCCAGAUAGCAGUGAAAAGCUUCGAGAUUUAUAUAUCUAUUUUUUCUUGAGGUGGUAGAGCGCCUAGAGAAAGCUCCUGCUGGCUCAUUAGAAAAAAAGAUUUAUAAACGAGAACUUGUAACGAAUAGCUGGAAUAGGC